CGGGCUCUCUUCGGAGGCCAGCGGCGGACGGGUGAGGAACACGUGGGUAAUCUGCCUUUCAGGCCGGAAUAACGCCCGGAAACGGGCGCUAAUGCCGGAUACGCCCGCGAGGAGGCAUCUUCUUGCGGGGGAAGGCCCAAUUGGGCCGCUGAGAGAGGAGCCCGCGGCGCAUUAGCUAGUUGGCGGGGUAACGGCCCACCAAGGCGACGAUGCGUAGCCGACCUGAGAGGGUGACCGGCCACACUGGGACUGAGACACGGCCCAGACUCCUACGGGAGGCAGCAGUAGGGAAUCUUCCGCAAUGGGCGCAAGCCUGACGGAGCAACGCCGCGUGAGCGAAGAAGGCCUUCGGGUUGUAAAGCUCUGUUGCUCGGGGAGAGCGGCAUGGGGGAUGGAAAGCCCCAUGCGAGACGGUACCGAGUGAGGAAGCCCCGGCUAACUACGUGCCAGCAGCCGCGGUAAAACGUAGGGGGCGAGCGUUGUCCGGAAUCACUGGGCGUAAAGGGUGCGUAGGCGGUCGAGCAAGUCUGGAGUGAAAGUCCAUGGCUCAACCAUGGGAUGGCUUUGGAAACUGCUUGACUUGAGUGCUGGAGAGGCAAGGGGAAUUCCACGUGUAGCGGUGAAAUGCGUAGAGAUGUGGAGGAAUACCAGUGGCGAAGGCGCCUUGCUGGACAGUGACUGACGCUGAGGCACGAAAGCGUGG
rnacentral:rRNA from 1 species